GACAUCUUGCUUCCAGUAAUAUACGCCUUUGUUUCAGUGAUUCUGAUUCCAGGCGACAGACCCAAGUUACUGUUUGAAUCGGCAUCGAGCUUUCUGGGGCGGGGUCUUCCCAAGCUUUGCAUCCGGUCUUUUGCUUUCAAGUCUCUCACUCUGCUCGGUGCCUGCUGUUACAAAAUAUGCAGCAUUAACAGCGUUCCAGAAUCCUAUUUCUUUAAGCGUCUGGAUUGGCUUUUUCCAUGUUUGUGUGGCGUUACUAGCUGUACGAUAUUUGUAAGGGAUUUAUUUUGGUGGUUGGGACUGAAGCACUAGGAGUCAUUUGGUAAAGGCCUGGAUUCAUACUUCAGGGCAAAGAAGAUUCCAUAUGGUCUUAAAGUAAACUUGAGGAUUUGUGUGAGGAAUAAUUAAGGCAAAUUAGAAGGGAAAAGUGAGUUGCUCGGCGUUGACUAAUCCAUUGAUGUGUCAAACAAUCGGAGGCUCUUCGUGCUUGGGGUGGGACUCUCUGGCAUGUUUGCUCACAGAGCUGUUCGAGACAUCAACAGAAGCAGUAAUCUAAUGGAGACGAUCAGCUUCUGUCCUCGAACCCGAAAAAAUGAAGUUCUCCCUUCUGUUUACGCUAGAAUUUACAGGGAAGUGUCUUGCCAGUCAUAGCCUUGGGACUUCUAAUGUACUUUUCACCUCAUGUUUCAGAAUUAUUUAGUGUGAAAAUAAGAGCUAAAGAUUGACCUUUUAAAUCGGUUUCCCGUUUAGGAAAAGAAAAGGGAACGCUCUAGGAAAGUCCCAUUUGACUCUGCUGAGACAAUUUAGUGCAUUAACACGAAUUGUGUUAAAUGGGUUGUAUGCAAAAUCCGUUUUUUCCCCCCCACACAAUAAAUAUUUUAAAGGACACAUAGUUGUCUCUGUCACUUGGGGCCCAGAACACAGCGUUGGGGCAGUGCAAUGAAACCCAUUUUUAAGUGUAACUAGUUUUAUACUAAGAUGAGUUUUUAAAAAAGCAACUGUAGUCUUUGAACUCUGGUAGUUGUCACAAUUAAGCUGAUUUCAAACAGUUUAUAGCAUUUGGAAUCGUUGAUUUGGAUUUCUUGUGAUAAAUAUUUGUCAGCUACUUAAUUCAUUCUCAUAAAACAAAUUUUACUGAAUUUAAAUUGGGCAAGUGAUCAUUUAAACUACGUUUUGAUUUUACUCCCUUUUUUGGGGGGAGGGGGUCAUUGUAAUUAUUUCCUGAGUGUCAUACUGCUCUCUAGACCUGUCAUAAAUUUCACGAAACUUAGAACUUGUUCUCUGCCUGUGGGUUAGCACUUCCUACCACUAUGUUUACUUUUAAUAUUCCACUUUUAGCUGUAUCUGGGUGGGUCAGGUAGUUAGAUAGUUCAGUAAACAUUUAUUGAGCACCUAAUGCUAGGCACUGUUUUAGGGACUGGGGAUACAUAAGUGAACACAAUAGACCUUUUAAGGAGCAGUCUAGUGAGGACAAUCACAAUAGAGUGUGGAAAGUGCUACAGUGGGGGUAAGCAUGGGAAGGAGGGGUGACUAGUCCAAAUUAGGUGCUUGCAUGGAGAUGGUGUCUAAAAUGAAGUCUGAAGGACAGAUAGGAAUUGGAACACGGGUGGGGUAGGGCCUUUCUGGAAAAGGGAGCAUUGAAUAAACCUGUAGUAAGAUCAGGGAUUUAAUUCACGUGGUCAACUUUAACCUUUCAUUGAGAAGGGUAGGGGGUGGAGGGUAGGAAGCAAAACAUUAACUCCAUCUACUCUUGUCUUUUUUAAUGAGUGCAUACCCUCAACUAAAGCCCAAUCAUGUAAGAUAAUGACAUAAUCUUCUUGUGUAGUCUUUCUUUUUUACUUUUUUUUUUUUUUUUGGCUGCCCCGCAAGACUUGUGGGACCUUAGUUCCCUGACCAGGGAUUGAACCUGCGCCCUCUGCAGUGAAAGCUGGGAGUCCUAACCACUGAACCGCCAGGGAAUUCCUUGUGUAGUCUUUUUACUAGGGAAAAUGUGUAGUAAUUUAGGAUCAAACCUGCUGGGUUGGAAUCCUAGUUCCACAGGUUACUAGUUAGGGAACUUUGGCAAGUUAAUUAAUCUCUGUCUGCUUGUUUCUUCUUUAAAUAGUGUUAAUAAUAGGACCUAUCACAUAAGGUAGUUGUGAGGAUUUUAUGGGUCAUUGAGAGCAAAGCACCUAGCGUGGUGCGAGGCACACUGUAGGAGCACAGUGCAUGCAUAUUAGCUGUAUGUGGAACUUGUGACCCUUCUGCUGCUGAAGUGAGGCAGAACAAGGUACUUUAUGGAUUGAAUGCCCUGCAUGCAGUGUUCACACAAAUAUUUGUUAGUGCUCUGCUAAACAAUUUCACUUUAGAUUCUGAAACUUUAAUAUUCUGAUAUAAAAGUGUGAUAUGUAUGAUAUUUUGAUAUAUAAGAUAUAUUGAACAGUGUAAGCUGAGAAAUGGAUAAAUACAUGGGUGUAAAAUUCUGAGUACAGCUCCAACACAUUGCAUGUAUUAGCUCUGUGUGCAGGUUUUAGAAGUCUGCUGGCAUCUUAACACCAGUGCAUCCAAAAGAAAUAUAAUGUGAGUCACAUAGAUAAUAUUUUUUAGUAGCCACAUUUAAAAAGUAAAAGAAGUAUUUAAUACUAAUUUUAACUCAUGUUAUCCAGUCUUAUAAUUUUAUUAUGUAAUCAAGAUUAAAAAAUAGUUGAGACAUUUUACAUUCUUUUUCUCCAGAGUGUAUGUUAUAUUUACAGCUCAUCUCAAUUUAGAUUAAGCACAUUUCAGGUGCUGAGUGUGGCUAGUGCUGCCAUAUUGGACAAUGCAUGUUUGAACAGUAUAAACUAGCCAGUUGGCUAAUGUGCAGAUGAUUAGAGAUACUUGGAAUGUGUACUACUUUUAGGACAUUUUAAAUUUCAUCAGUUGACUAGGAUGUUUUUUUGUUUUGCUUUGCUUUUUAAAAAAUCUAGAGCACUCUCUAAUUAUGAAUGAUACUGAAAUUUGAGUUGUCACUUGAUUGUUAAAACCUCUUGAGGUUUGGACAGAAGUAGUUACCUUGCAGGUGUUCAGUAGGGCCAAACUGCCGGUAUAACGCUGGCCCUCAUUAUUUUAGGCACAGUCAUUUCAGUUACUUAUUGGCUAUUGAUUCUUGGAAGAAAUAAUUUUUAUAGGCUUAUGGUGCUUACUUACAGUGCUUACACAGACUACCGUAUUUAAAAUUUUCUGUAUAUUUUCACUUCCCACACAUCUGUGUCAGAAAUUGUGUAUGAUGUUUAUGGUCAGAUUUAUUGCAGACAGAGUUGUAAAAACAAAUUACUGGUAUGUUCCACACUCACCAAUCGCAAAGUGAAUCCAAGGGCACUGGAAUAUAUAAGCUGCACAAGGACAGAGGGCUUUGUCUUUUAGCUGAUAGAUGCUAAGCACCUAGAAGAGUCCCUGCAUUUAAUGGGUGCAUGGUAAAUAGUGAAUGAAGGCAGGCAGACAGACAGUAAGUAUAAUCAGCAUCCUCUAGAAUUGGCUAGUUUUAUUUUAACAUUUCUUGUCUACCUACUUUCUGAGCAUUAAAUAUGUGAAGUAGAUUGAGGUCAGAUUUUACAUAAGAAAAUCAGCUGUUUGGCUAAUAGAGUAAUUUUAGGGUAAAACUGGUCUUGGAAAUUCAGAUUGUUGAAGUAUUUGCUAAAGAGAGUUACUAGUUUUGGAUGAGCAGAUUUCAUUGGUUUAUUUGGCUAUAACCCUGUUGGCAGUAUGAGCUCAGGAAAGCAUUACCCUUUUCGUGAUAUGGUAGGUACUUGGACUCGUCCCAAAGCAGAAAUUUUUAGUGGGCUGUUUUACUGAAAGUGCUGUCUUUUGGUGUUGUUAAUCCUCCCUCCACCCCUCGACUUCAUAUUACUUUUUCUGUUAGGACUGUCUUUCACUGGGAAACGGAGUCUCUGGGUUCCAUGUAAAAAAUUAAAUUGGUGGGCUUCCCUGGUGGCGCAGUGGUUGAGAGUCCGCCUGCCGAUGCAGGGGACAUGGGUUCGUGCCCCGGUCCGGGAGGAUCCCACAUGCCGCGGAGCGGCUGGGCCCGUGAACCAUGGCCGCUGAGCCUGCACGUCUGGAGCUUGUGCUCCGCAACGGGAGAGGCCACAACAGUGAGAGGCCCGCAUACCGAAAAAAAAAAAAAUUAAAUUGGUAAAGGCUCUUGCCUCUGGGAGAGGUAUAAAAUGAACACACCCUUUUUGUUGUCUUUCUGAGUGUUUUUACUAAGCGUUGGAAGAGUAGGAUGGUUCCACUAACAUGCAUUUAAGAAUUGGUUUAUUUAAUUGAAAUGAGCCCAUUUUAUAUGAGAGGCUGCUUUUUAGAGAAUUGAGCAAAACCUUUUUCAUAUUAAACGUGACAGGACUUUGCUGUGACACCCAGGCAAUGGCUCAUGCUGCAGGAAUGCCAGCGUGCCCAAUGAAUUUUUCUUUAAAAAAAAAAAAAUUAUUUAUUUAUUUAUUUAUUUUUGACUGUGUUGGUCUUCGCUGCGGUGCGCGGGCUUCUCAUUGAGGUGGCUUAUCUUAUUGCAGAGCUCCCACUCUAGGCGCGCGAGCUCAGUAGUUGUGGCAUGUGGGUUCGGUAGUUGUGGCUCACGGGCUUGAGAGCACAGGCUCAGUAGUUGUGGCGCAUGGGAUUACUUGCUCUGCGGCACGUGGGAUCUUCCCGGACCAGGGCUCGAACCUGUGUCCCCCACAUUCCCAACUACUGCACUACCAGGGAAGCCCGCCUAAGGAAUUUCUUUCAUUUGAACUUGUAUUUUUAGGAUUGAUUAAGAACUAUCCCGAGAUUUUCCCAAAGAAGAUACAAAGGGCCAGUAAACACAUGAAAAGAUGUUCAACAUCACUAAUCAUUAGGGAAAUGCAAAUCAAAACCACUAUGUGACGUUACUUCACAUCCAUUAGGAUGACUGACAUCAAAAAUUAACUUUGGGAAAAAAAAAAAGAACUUUGUCAUAGACUUAUCUGUUCGAGUCCCUGCUUUCAGUUCUUUUGGGUAUAUACCUGGAAGUGGCAUUGCUAGAUCAUACCAUAAUUCUAUUUUUAAUUUUUUGGGAAACCACCAUAUUGUUUUCCACAGUGGCUGCACAGUUUUAUGUUGCCAUAGCACUGCACCAGGGUCUUAUUUCUCCGCAUCCUCAUCAACACUUGUUAUUGUCUGUUUAGUAGCAUUAUUCACAGUAGCCGAAAGGUGGAAACAACCCAAAUGUGCAUAGACCAAUGAAUGGAUACACAAGAUGUAGCAUAUACAUACAAUGGAAUAUUAUUGAACCUUAAAAAGGAGUGAAAUUCUGAUAGAUUUUACAACAUGGAUAAACACUGAAAACACUAUGCUAAGUGAAACAGGCCAGACACAAAUAGACAAAUACUGCAUAAAAUCAUUUAUGUGAGGUACCUAGAAUAGGUCAAUUCAUAGAGAAAGUAGAAUAGUGGUUACCAGGGCCUGGGGACUGGGUAAUGGGAAGUUAUUGGCUAAUGUGUACAGAAUUUCAGUUAGUGGGGAAUUAUUGCUUAAAGGGUACAGAGUUUCAGUUUGGGAAGAUAAAAAAGUUUUGGAGAUGGAUAGUGGUGAUGGUUGCACAGCAGUGUGAAUAUAUUUAAUGCCACUGAAUUGUAUACUUAGAAAUGGUUAACAUGCACAGAAGGACAAAUACUGCAUGAUUCCAUUUAUAUGAGGUAUUUAAAGUUGUCAAAUUCAUAGAAACAGAAAGUAGAAUAGUAGAAAGUAGAAUGAUAGUCUCCCAGGGACUGGGGGGAGGGGGAAAUGGGGAGUUGUUUAAUGGAUAGAGUAUAGUUUUAGUUUUAUGAGCUGAAGAAGUUUUGGAGAUCUGUUGUGUAUCAAUGCAAAUACACUUAACACUACUACACUAUACACUUAAAACUGGUUAAGUUGGUAUAUUUUUAUGUUAUGUGUUUUUUUUACUGAAAUUUAAAAAAUGGUUUAAAUGGUCAAUUUUAUGUUACGUAUAUUUUACUACCAAAAAGCCCCCAAAAAACUCUUUGCCACUUGACACAGCUCUCUAAAAGGGCAUUUAAUCACAGACAGCCCCUCACUUUUCAUGUGAUAACUACUGUUAACCAGUGGUCAUUGAGUCAAGAGGAUCCUUUAAGGUACUUUCCCAUGCUUUAUUAUUACCGGUCUGUACUUUCAGAUACUGAAGGCAGGUUUGUCUUUUUGUUGUGUGUAUCUACAUAGAUCUCCUUGGAAUAUUAAUACAGGAAAAUACCCUAAUAUGAAUUUUUUUUUCCUUUUUUUAGCAUGUUGGGUCUUAGUUGCUGGGCGCAGGCUUCUCUAGUUGCAGUGAGCAGAGUGGGGGGGCUGCUGUUCGUUGCGGUGCGUGGGCUUCUCAUUGCAGUGGCUUCUCUUGUUGCAGAGCACAGGCUCUAGGCGGGCAGGCCUCAGUAGUUGUGGCACGUGGGCUCAGUAGUUGUGGCUCGUGGGCUGUAGAGCUCAGGCUCAGUAGUUGUGGCGCACAGGCUUUGUUGCUCCGCAGCAUGUAGGAUCUUCUGGACCAAGGAUCAAACCCAUGUCGCCUGCAUUGGCAGGCGGAUUCUUAUCCACUGCACCACCAGGGAAACUGAGUCAGGAAACUGAGACUGAUGAGGGGAGGUAACUUGCAGAAGAUUAUAUGGCUAAUUAGUGAAAGAGUUUUGACUAAAAUCCACAUCCAAUCCUGUUCAUGGCUGUGUUUCUCAUCCUGAGAAUUUCAUUGUUUUGUUUGAAAAAAUUAAUGAUAGGGUCAUUCUCCUACUCAUCAGUUUUAAUUUGAAAAGUGGAGUUACAGUGGUUUAUUGUUGUUUUGUCUUUGUUUUGACAGAAGUGGGAAAGUAACAAGUCUCAGCACCAAAUACCAAGGGGUUUGUUCAGGUUAUUUGUCUUUUGCAAACAGAGCGUAACACAGCAGAGCUGAGCUGAUAAUGUUAGAAAUGAUUAUUUUAUUUUCAAGAAUUAUCAUGUAUAAUGGUAUACGAGAUGUGGCAAAGGAAAUACUGAUAUUCCUGUUCGGUUUGUAAAGGGAAAGAAUGAUAGGAGAAAUACUGUCAAUCUGUUUCAACUUUUAACAGUACAGAGUUGCCCAGCCAGUGCUGUGAUAGCAAUUGUGAUUAACCGAGAAAUAGGGGCUUGUUGAGUUGAUUUACAAAUAAGAGACUGUUAUUUAGCACAAAAUAUAAAUUUGUGAAUAGCUAAGAGAUCUGCAUGGGAAGACUGCUUAUGGAGAUGGUUCAGUCAUAAAGGUAGAGUGUAAAAGAGCUAUAAAGUGUUGAGACCAUUGUCUGAACCCAAAGACUGAUAAAAGUCUUGAAAAGGUCAUGGAUUUGCUUCCUUCAAAGAGGUGAAUAUUGGGGGUUAAUGGAUUAAGUCCUUUAAAUUUGGGUAAUAAGAAAAGGAAUUUGAAAAGAUGACUAGAGUAAAAUUUUGGUGAAGAAAACUCAUCUGAAGGUAAAUCUCAAAUGAGAAAAAACAUUAUAUUUGAAGAUAGUAGUACCAUAUAGUUUGAGUUACAAACGAAAGUAAUUGCUUGAUAUUUAUCCUUCUUUCCAGAGAUGAAAAAUCAUAUUUUUGGGGAAAACAGCAACUGGUGAUGGAACACUAAGUUUCCAGCAAACAGAGCAUCCAAGGUUGUAAAACAUUAGAAAAUGGAAAGAAACAUUAUUCUGGAGACCCAAAAAGUACAAUGUAGCAAAAUCAGAACAGAGGACAGUAUUGAUUUGUUUCUUUCAUAUCAGUAGCAGUGCUUACGCAGGCUUUUUUAAAUUGACAUUUUUAUUAAGGCAGUUGUAGAUUCACAUGCAGUUGUAAAAAGCAGUACAGAAGGAUCCCUUGUACACUUUGCCCAGUUUCUCCUAAUGGUAACAUUUUGUGAAACUGUGGUAUAAUAUCACAACCAGGAUAUUGUCAUCUGUUACAGCACACCAGUCUUACUCAAAUUUCUCUAGUUUUACUUGUACUCAUUUGUGUGUGUAUGAAAUUCACUACAGUUUUGUCACUUCUGUAGGUUCAUGUAGCCACCACCACAGUCAAGAUACUGAACAGUUCCAAGAGACAAGGAUCCCUUGUGUUCUUUUUUAACUAUACCCCUUUCCUCCCUCCACCCCCGCUUCUCUCCUCCAAAAAUUUGUCCUCCAUUUAUAAAAUUUUGUCAUUCACAAAUGUAAUAUAAAUGGAACCAUAUACGAUGUAACCUUUUGGGAUUUGCUUUUAUUCAGUCGGCUUAAUUCCCUGGAGAUUCAUCCAAGUUGUAUGCAUCAGUAGUACCUUUUUUAUUAUUGAGUAGUAUUUCAUGGUAUGCAUUCCCCACAGUUUGGUUAACGACUCACCCAUUGGGGAACACCUGGGCUGAUUCCAGUUUCUGGCUGUUAUAAAUAAAGCUGCUAUGAAUUUUUGUGUAGAAGGUUUUGUAUGAUCAUAAAUUUUUGUUUCUCUGGGAUAAAUGCCUAAUAGUGCAAUUACUGGGUCAUAUGGUAAUUGCAUGUUUAGUUUUAUAAGAAACUACUGAACUGUUUCUCCAGUGGCUGUGCUAUUUUAUAUUCCUUCAAUAGCGUGUGAGUGACCUUGUUUCUCUGCAUCUUCACCAGCAUUUGGUGGUUUUACUAUUUUGUGCUUUAGCUAUUCUGAUAAGUGUGUAGUAAUAAUCUCAUUGUUGUUUUAAAUCGCAUUUCCUUGAUAGCCAGAGGUGUUGAAAAAUCUUUUUAUGUUCUUAUUUGCCAUCUGUGUGUUCUCUGGUGAAAUAUCUGUUCACGUCAGUUGCCCAUUUUCUAAUUGCAUUCUUUUUUCUUUUUUUUUUUUACUAUUGAGUUUCAUGAGCUCUUUAUACAUUUUAUUUUAUUUAUUUGGGUGCGUUGGGUCUUCGUUGCUGCACGCGAGUUGCGGUGAGCGGAGGCUACUCUUCGUUGCAGUGUGCGGGCUUCUCAUUGCGGUGGCUUCUCUUCUUGCGGAGCAUGGGCUCUAGGCACGUGGGCUUCAAUAGUUGUGGCACGUGGGCUUCAGUAGUUGUGGCGCACAGGCUUAGUUGCUCCGUGGCAUGUGGGAUCUUCCCGGACCAGGGCUUGAACCUGUGUCCCCUGCACUGGCAGGCGAAUUCUGAACCACUGCACCACCAGGGAAGUCCCUUGAAAGCUUUUUAAAGUUAAUUUUUACCAGUGAUGUGUACACAUAUUUGAAGUUAAGUAAACUGCUAAGAGAUUUAUAGUAACAAAAAAAGCAGUCUCCUGACUCAUUUCCUCUCCAUCUUCAGUCCUUUUCUUUAGAAGCAUCUUCUACCUCUUCUGUUAUAUACUCCUAUAUUUUCAAAAUAUAAGGUAUACAGCCAUCUCUUGAGUAUUAAUAUUAGAUGGAAAUUUUAACCUGUUAUAAUCUCAUCCCACUUUUAUCCCAGUUUUUUUUGUUAAAUUGAUAUCCAGUGGUUACGUUAAUAUGGCCAUGUGAAUAUUCCCUAUCAAGCCAAAUAGUCUGUUAUGACUCUGUUUCCUUUUCUCCGAAGUUGAAAGUUCUCUUUAUUUGAUUAAUUUCCUUUACCCAUUAGCAAGUCUUCCUAUAUCCUUCAACAACCUCUCAGAAUGACUUUCUACACAGUCAAGCCAUUAGAGAUAGAUAUAUAUUUCUUCCUGGAUGCCUCUCUUCUAGGUCUUUCUCCUUCUUGCUUCCGUUCCCUUAGCCUCUCUCAUGUGAGAUACUGUUGUUAAUUUAUCGCCUUGGAUCAUAUCAUUCUCUAGUAGCUUCUUGCAAAAAGGGUACAUGGCAAAGGACAUUUUUUGAGACUUUCCAUAUUUGAUAAUGUCUAAAUUCUUUCACUCCAUCGAAAGUUUGACAGGGCCUAGGGUUCUGGUUUGAAAAUAAUUUUCCCUUAGGAUUUUGAAAGUAUUACUUUUGUCUUUUAGCUUCUGAUGUUGUUGGCAGGUACAAUACCAUUCUGAUUCUUUUUUUUUUUUUGCGGUACACUGGCCUCUCACCGUUGUGGCCUCUCCCGUUGCGGGACUCCGGAUGCGCAGGCUCAGCUCCGGACGCGCAGGCUCAACGGCCAUGGCUCACGGGCUCAGCCGCUCCGCGGCAUGUGGAAUCUUCCCGUUCUGGGGCACGAACCCGCGUCCCCUGCAUCGGCAGGCGGACUCUCAACCACUGCGCCACCAGGGAAGCCCUCAUUCUGAUUAUUUAUCCAUCGUUUAUGGCCUAGUUUGUCUCUGUAAGUUUUUAGAUUUUUUAAUUUUUUUGAAUUCCUGGUAACAGAUCAUGUACCUUAGUGGGUGGGUCUUUUUAAAAAUAAAUCUAUCAUUCUCGAUACUUGGUGGGCCUUUCCAGGUCCUUAACUUCUUCACGUUUUCUUACAUUUUUUCCUCCUGUGAUUUUCUUCCCUUUUUUUUCUGUUUUUAGUUGGAUGUUGGACUUCCUGGAUUGAUUGUAUAAUUUUCUAUUUUCUAGCUUUGCUAAUUCGUUCUUUCUGGGAGAUUUCUUUGACUUUAUCUUUUAACUUUUCUAUUGAAGAUUUUAUUUCAGCUGUAGUAUGUUUAAAUUUCUAGUGCUUUUUCUGCUUUAUUCCUUAAAAUUUGUUUUUUAAGCAUUCUGUUCCUGUUUUAUAAAUACGGUAUCUUUCUUGGAAGAUAGGUUUUUUGACAUUUUCUUCUUGACUCUCUUUUUCCUUCAAGUUUUCCAUACCCAUGUUUGUUUUAUUCUGUAUUUUAUUUUAGAGGCCUUUCUCAAAUGAUUGGUGAUUUCAGGACAUACGUUCAUAAUUAAGAAUGGGUCGUUGAAUCAGCUGCACUUCAAUAAGAUUUUUUUAAAAAGUGCCAAAAAAAAAAAGAAUGGGUCUUUGAAAAGAUGUUCGUGAGCUUUGUAAACAUGGGUGGGGCUUUUUAAUCUCCCUGGUUUUAGAUUCAUCUCCACACUCCACUGAACCUCUUGUUCCUGAAUUCAGAGUGUGUCAGUUUCACAUUUUCUAGAGAAUAAAUCUUUAGACUCCUGCUAGGUCUUGAGGAGUGGUAAUAUCUGGUUAUGUGAAAUGGAGGCUACGUCUUGGGGUGUCCUUAUAUAAACCUUCAAUCAGCCUUUACUUUCUGCCUGGUACCUAAUACCUCCUAUUGCUAAACCUCCUAUUUAGACGUGAAUUGGCUUGCUCCUCAUUGGUAUCUUCUUCAGUGGGUUCUGAGGUCAUAAACUUCUUCAUCUAUUGUGGUUAGUUACAGUGUCUCUCCAUUUGUAAACUCUUUAUAUUUCUUGUUUUCCUUGAAGUUUUGGUGUGAUUUUGGAGAGAAGGGGUCAGAAAGAUUUUUCUCUUCUAGUUUAACUGGAAUUUGAAGUAAUUUUUGACUCCAAAUGAUUUUUGACUCCACUUUUUAACUCAUAAAUAACAUCCAGUAGGAUUAGGGAUGGACGAUACUUUGCUACUGUUCUUGUAAAUAUCUAGUCCAUCCUCAAAAUACUGAUAUUUUUGUUAUUUAGGAUAGUCAAAUGAAUGUAGUAGGGAAUCAGAGUAUUCACAACAGCACCAUUUAAAGGAAAGAGCUUUAAUUUAGAUGUAUAAUUCUUGGCUGAUUUACUUGGGGGAAAGGGAGAGUAUUUUUUGCUUUUUGAACAGAGUAUGACUGUAGUCUUAAAUUUCAGUCUUUUGCUCUCGAUGUAUACUAUUUUAUAGAAUACUGACCAACAAAUGAUUCAGCAAACUCAUAAUCUGUCAGAGGAUUGCAGUGGGUCCUAUAUAUUAUAGCACUUGGCAUUGAAUGAUAAGGUAUCGCCCGCUUGAUUUUUAGCUGGUUUGAAACCUACUAGUAAACAUUUUUCCCUACAAAGUGUGAGUAGAGUUAGUCUACCUCUUUGUAUAUUCUCAGUCUUACUAACUUUGCCUUCCUUAAAUUAGACAUUAAUGGUUACGUGUGAAUUUUUAAAAAUCCAGUAGUGUCUUUUUGCAUAUUUUUGUGUGUGGGAAUAUAUAUUCAGCAUAAUAAAUGGACAAGAGUGCUGUGGAAGGUAAAUAUAAUAUCAAAAUAACUGUUCAAGUGUUAGCUCUUUGCUUAAGUGAGUAAGAAUUCUGAAAACUUUUUUCUUCUUUUGCAAAGUUUCAGACCUACAGGAAAGAUACUUAUUAUAAUGAAUCCUCUUAUAUCCUUCCUCUAGAUUCACCAAUUGCCAAUAUUUUGCUACAUUUGCUUUUAUGUCUCUUUAGAUAGUUUAUUUUGUGUAUGAAGUGGUGUCUGAUUCAAAAUAGAUUAAAGAUUUGUGUGCCAUAGUCAUUUUUCAAAAAUAAAGUAGGAAAUUAAGCUAUAAGCCUUUGCACUUGCCGUUGAGGUUUUACAAUGUGUCAGGCACUCUCUGUGAGCGCCAGAGAUGCAGUGGUGAGUAGUACAACUUGGUGCCUAUCCUUGUGGUGUUUAAGUUCUAGUGGAGAAUUUUGAAAAGUGCACCAAAAUACCACUACUUUCUCAGCACCUAAGUUAGAAUCUGAUUCUCAAUAUCUUUGCUGCUCUUCUAAGACAUUUCAUAUUUGUGGGAAAUACAAGCUUUAUGCCCUUUACUGUUUUGUCUUACAAAGUUAUGUUUGCUAUACCUCAUGAAAGAAAGUUUUGUUUUGUUUUUUUUAAGAUACAGAAUUUUAAACAGUCAGGUGGAAACACUUACAUGUAUCUAGAGAUUAGUCUUCCAUUAACCUCUGAACAUAAUCCAGAUGAAAACAAAUAGUAUAUUCACAAAUCACCUAAAUUAAAGCCACACAUAGUACUUAGUGUUUUCUUAGUGCCUUACUGACUUUGUUUUUUAAUUCCAUUUUAUUAGACCCUGAAGAAGCAGCAGACUUUUGUUUUUAUGCAGGUGACAUGUCCAGCCAGCAGAAAUGAGACGAGAUAGACAUAUAGGUAGGAGAACUGAAAACUAAGACAAAGAUUAAAGAUUGUAUUACCAUACGAUACAGUUACAGAUUUGUGAAUUGAUGAUUAUGGCCAAUGAGAAGUUCCUUUUUUUUUCUGGGCCGUGCCGCACAGCUUGCGAGGUCUUAGUUCCCCGACCAGGGGUUGAAUGCCGGCUGUGACAGUGAAAGCACUGAGUCCUAAUCACUGGACCACCAGGGAAUUCCCUAGAAGUUCUUUUAUCUUCUGUAGUCUCUGUUGAAGUAGAAAGUUUGAUAUAUUUUGGAGACAUAAUAAAAAAUGAGUUUUGUUGCCUUAUGUAUGUAUAAUCAGAGUUUGACUUUUGUGGAAUAAUUUUUCCACAAGAUGCUAGAUAAAUGCUUUAUUAUAAUAAAAUGAAAUUAUUUCUUGUAUUCAGAAAGAAUUUUAAAAAUUGGGAUGCAUCGAUGGAAAAGUGAAGCCUGAGGGUGAAUAUAAUCCAAACAAAAUUAUGAGCUUGGAUGAGCUACAUAUCUGCAUGCAACUAGACUUUCUUCAUAUACUUCAUAUUCUUCAUGCAUUUCAAUCAGAAGAGCAUAUUGCAACAGACUGAAUGCCAAAGUAGAUGUGAAAAUUGUGGUCUGUUAAGCUGGACUUUAAAGUUACAAAGCUAUAAAAUCAUGCCACUCUUCUCACAGUUUAUUUUUGUUUUGGAGGAUAUAGUUAUUUUUCAUAAAUAUGUUAUUUAUGGGUUUGUUGUUAUUUUAAAAUAUAUUAAUAAAUAUUUUAAAAUGUUUCUUAGUUUUAAUAUCUAAUGUGGUAAGUAUAAAUUGAUGUAAUCCACAUAAACAAAAGCUUGUUGGGCUCCUUAGUAAUUUUAGAAGUAUAAAGGGUUCCUCAGCACAAAAAGUUUGAGUCCUGGUGGUCUACCUCUUUCAUUGCUUCUAUGUAUGGUCCAUCCUAGCUCAGUUUAUAAUCUAGUAGGAUAGACUGACACAAAAUGAAAAGUCAGAUGGUAGGAUAAUGUAUGAAAUAAUGGUACUGAGGAAAGUCACUUAAAGGGAAUCCAUUCAAAACAGUAAAAGAAAUUUCCUAACAAGUAAUGGAAAACAGACAAAAAUGUUGGGAAGUUGUUGAGAAAUAAAAUUAAAACUUAUGACACCUAGUUUGUUUUGUCUUGUAUUUGACAAAAUUUAGAUUAUAAUUUUGAUUCCUCGUUACUAUUCAGCACUGAGAAAAAGAAUCUAACGUUGGAAGUGUUGGCAUACUUUAUCUGACAAAAGUAUAUAAAUAAAAUCCUUGAAUCUUUUGACUUUUAUAGUAUGAACAUAAAAAUCCAUUAAAAACACGUUUAAACAAUAUGGAAUAACAGGAGAUUAAAAUAGGGCCGAGAGAUCCAACAAAGAAGCUAUUCUAACUAUGGAAAAUACAUUAAAUCCAUGGCAGUAUCUCAAACUGUUUUAUUUUGAAGUGAUAUUACCUCAGUUCGCCCAAAAAAGUAACACAAUAACAUACUGUCAUUAUUACAAUUUGUUUAAAAAAUAAACAUACAUAACACCUUCAAAAAAAAAAGUUUAAGAGUCUUAUUCAUUUCUUCAAGGGACUCUCUUAAUCCUUUGCUCAUAUAAUUUUUUAAAUAUAAAUUUAUUUAUUUAAUUUAUUUAUUUUUGCCUGCGAUGGAUCUUCGUUGCCGCCCAUGGGCUUUCUCUAGUUGCAGUGGCGGGGGCCACUCUUCAUUGCGGUGCAUGGGCUUCUCAUCACGGUGGCUUCUCUUGUUGCAGAGCACAGGCUCUAGGCACGUGGGCUUCAGUAGUUGUGGCACAUGGGCUCAGUAGUUGUGGCGCACGGGCUUAGUUGCUCCGCGGCAUGUGGGAUCUUCCUGGACCAAGGCUUGAACCCGUGUCGCCUGCAUUGGCAGGUGGAUUCAUUACCACUGCGCCACCAGGGAAGUCCCUGUUCAUGUAAUUUUAAUUUUAGGCCCACUUGUGCUGCCAUCCUUAUCUAUUUCUGUUUAUAUGUUAACUAUCCACUCCUUUGUUUGUCAGUGACUUAUUUCUUCCCUAUCAUUUUUCAGUGCAUCUUUUACUGGAUUUCCAGUCUCUCUUUAUAAUUAAGUUUACACUAUAUUAUUAGAACAUCUGGUAAGAGACAUACCAACGAUGUCUAUGUGAUGGCUGAGGGAUAGAUGCUAGUAAGUUGUGUAUUUAUUAGUAUUUUCAUGGUGUUAUAACUUCAGCUUCUUUUUACAGCCUUGUGACUUGGAAUCUAUCAGUAGAUAAGGAAGACUUCCGUGGGCAUGCAUGGAAUCACACGUUUCAGGAAAUGUAAAGAGCAAAUGAGGGUACUCCUUUCAGGAAGUUUGGAAUUAAUGCUUUCUAUAUUGUUAUUACAAUUGUUAAUUUCUGUUUGAUUUAGAAAUAGUUAAUUUUAACAGUGUAUUAGUAGAAUGUUUUUAGCAGUCUAGGAACCCUCAAAUAGAAAAACAAUUCCUUAUUCUGUGUUUGCAGUGAAAGAGAACCAAGGUAACCAAUUAAUGGGAGGUUGAUAUAAACCAAUAUGAGUUAGAAAUGGCCUUGAACUUCUUAGAUUUGUGCCUAUCAUCAUCAUUCUGUAGCACAAAGAGUAGAAGAAGAAAGAGCAGUUGAUGAAAGUUAUGGAAUGGAGAGAUUAAGAGUUGAGUGACUGAAUGAAUUGGAUUUUUAAACUAAUUGCAGAGGCUAUAAACUGGAAUACUUUCUUUGCUCUGCUCUGUAGUAAUCUUUUGGUAGUAUAAUAGUAGACAACUUUGUACUGGAGACAGAAAACUAGCUUUGGUAACAAUAAAUUUUUUUAAUAGGCAAAUGACUUCAUAUCUUGGCCUUCAUUUCCUGUCUGUAAUAAAAGUGAUACGAUCUAACACUUAGGCUAACCAAGGUGCUGGGAACUGUACUAGGGUUUAUAUGGAUUGUCUUUGUGGUUCCUGUAUUAGCAUGGUCUGAGAGAUGGUUUGUGCUGUCCUACAUACAGAGAAAUAGCAGUGUACCAGCAGUAGUGCCUCUGUGAGAGAAUAAAGCAACAUUUCUUUAAGAGAUUUGGAGGAAAGUGACUUAACUGAUAUGCAAAAUAACUUAUACACUACUUUGAGGCUUCAAAGGGGAGCAGUAAAGUGAAAGGCUGUAUAGCAGUGGUAGUGUUACAUUGAUUGGAUCUUGAGGACUCUUAAAUCUUUCCACCUUUUCUUUGUCAUCUGUCACCUCUGGAAACAACAUAAGAUUGGUCCUAUAAAGGAGGGAGAGCCAUUGGUCUGAUUUCUUGCACAGGCAUUCUGUAAGUUACAGAUUUUAUUUUUCAAGGUAAAAAACGGAAGCGGUGGCAUUCAUAGUUAAGAGCGUGGACUUUGGAGUCAAACUGACGAGUUAAAAAGCCAGUCUUAGCCAUGUGUAAAUUAGCCUUGGGUAAAUUACUUACCUUCCUUGUGCCUUAGUUUUUCUCAUCCACAAAACCCUAAGAGCUACUAUGAGGAUUAAAUGAGUCAAUGGGUGUAAAGUGCUUGUGUCUGGCACAUAGUAAGCAGUAUAUAAAUGUUAGAUAAAACAAAAGUAGUAACAAAAGCCAGGGACCUCUGGGAGGAAUAAGAAGUUGGGGCCCAUAUUUGUUGUGAGUGGAAACUGAGCUUAAUUUGGAGGUCUUGAAGAGGCAUGCCUGGUUCUAAAUUUUGAAGCAGAUACAUGCAGCAACGUGAGAGUACAGGCUUCCUAGACAGUAGAAGAAAAAAGAUGCCAAGAUGAGAUAAUUGAAAGUGGAAUAUUGCUAAGGAAUUAGAGAACAUUAUGCUUAAAUUUUAUUAGUACAUCCCCUUUCCCCACAUCAAACAUUCUUAACAAGCCAUGCCUCCUAAAUUCUUAAGUGCCAAAAGUAGAACUAUCCUUUAUUUUCCAGUAGGGAAAACAGUCCUCAUCCCCUCCAUUAAGUCAUUUAUUGCCUGAUGCCAUUUGAAGAUCCUUCCCGUCCACCUCCUCCCGGCUCUCUGUUGGAAUUGAAAUGGUUUUGUGCUUUGGCUGGCAGUGUCCUGAGUGGAUCAGCACAGAUUUAACUUGUUUAAGCAGAUGUUUUUGUCUCUCUGAUAAAUAAGCUAGAGAAGAGGGUUGCUUGAAAGGUUUUUUUGUUUUUGUUUCUUAAGACUAAAAAAAGGAGGACUUCCCUGGUGACGCAGUGGUUAAGAAUCCGCCUGCCAAUGCAGGGGACAUGGGUUCGAGCCCUGCUCUGGGAAGAUCCCACAUGCUGCGGAGCAGCUAAGCCCAUGCGCCACAACUACUGAGCCUGUGCGCCUAGAGCCCGUGCUCCGCAACAAGAGGAGCUAUUGCAACAAGAGAAGCUACCGCAAUAAGAAGCCUGAGCACCGCAAGGAAGAGUAGUCCCUGCUCGCCGCAACUAGAGAAAGCUCGCGCGCAACAGCAAAGACCCAAUGCAGCCAAAAAUAAAUCCAUUAAAAAAAAAAAAAGACUAAAAACGAAAAACAUUAAAUAAAACCUCAUCUGAAAUCUAAAGGGGAGGAGGACUUAAAGAUUUGGGGAAGUCAAGUGGAUUAGCAGGAAUUUAAAGUGGCUAUGUUUUAUCUAAUACAGAAUAAACAAAUGCCAUUGCAAAGUAUUAUUCUGAUGUAAAAAUUUCGUGGCUAAAUAGCAAGUUGUCAUAUUACUUAGAGAGUAAUAAGCAUUAUGCAUUAAUAAGUUUGAAACAGUUGAUCAACAAGUCCUAGAUUCUGGCGAUUCGGUGGCCUUUAGAGAUAGUAUAUGAACUCAUUUUAAUGAUUUAGAAAACCUUUUAAUACUUGAAAAGUUGCAAAUAUCCGUAAAAGGGGAAGGAAGAUAGAAAGCAACAAAGGGUUAGAAGGUGAGUGAGCAAGUUCUGGAAAAAUUGAGAACAAUGUUGCUGAUUUGAGAUGCUGCUUGGAAUACAGUUUGGUCUGGAUCAAGGAGGUAUCAGGAGAAUAAGAUAAGGGCAGGCCAAAAAGAAGAUAGACAGUUUGACUCACUAACGGCAAAGCGUUAAGACUGGGAGAAGGCUGAAAUUGGGUAGCUAGAGUAAUGUUCAGAACCAAUGUAAUAGCUUCAUUGAGGGCUUUUUAUGUGCCAUCCUAGACUUUUUACACAUUAAUUCUCAUGUAAUCCUCGCAGCAUACUGGUGAUAGAAAUUUUAAUUCCUGUUGUGGAUGAGGGAAACAGGUCUAGAGAGGUUAAAGUUUCACCCAGUGCAACACAGCUAGUACCUGGCAGAGUCAGAGGGCAUGUUUGUCUGUAUCCUCUUAAUCACGGUGGUCCAUACUGCCUUUCUUAAUUCCUAAAGUUAAUUCACUGUCAGCCCUAACCUUAUAUUUGCUUAUUGAUGUGUAGUGUAUAACCUAACAGAUCAUCAGUAUGAUUGGAGUAGUUUUGGAGGGAUCAUGAUAGUUAUUUGAGGCAGAGUUACUCUUGAUGCUGUGGUACCAAAUAAGAACAUAUGAAGAUACCGCCAUGUUCUAGAGAACACUAGCUUCUGGAAGGUGCCUCCAAAGUUUUGAGUAGUGGAAGUAGCAACAAAAGCAGCUAAUGGUGUUUUAUCACAGAAUCUACUUGCUCAGUUCUUUGACAUGAAAAAAGUUUCUCUUUCCUUUUUAGAAAAGUGUUAAAGAGCAUUAUAAAAGAAGCUCAGGAAUAAAGGAAUGGAGGAAGUUCAUUAGGGACUCAAGGAGUUAACUACACAUGCCAAAUUUAAAACUACCUCUGGAAAUGUGUGACUCCAAUGAAACAAAUCUUAUGACUUCUGUGAAACAGAGCAAAGCUUAUUACUUUCUACUACACUAAUUUUGAAUUCAAAAUAAUUAAGACAUAGUAAGUGGGUUGUGUUUUUUACUUUUUCAGAGCAUUUGGGUUUUCAGAAAUUGUGUGAGAUGUACGUGUGAAUUGGUUAUAUUUUUUUCAUUUUUACCAAAUUUGGUAGGUGGUAAAAUGGAAAUUCUAAGUAAAUAUUUAAAAUGCCACAUGGGUAUUAUGAAUAUAGAUAUUAAAGGAAACUUUAAAUUUUCAAAUAGGAAAACUUACUCUGGCAGGUCGAGAAAAGGCAUCACAUCUUUUGUGCAUAGAGAAACAUGUUAAUUUUCUGUUUUUGUGGUAUUGCUUCUCUUGCUUUUAUAUUACUGUCUAUUAACUGAUGUGGAAUUUGUCAGAUUUCCCAGCUGUCUUUUCCAACUAUAUUACUUGUGAGAAUCCUAAUGACUUUAUGAAUUAGAGGAGUGUCUCUAAAAUUAGUGCAUAACAAAUAAGACUUUCUUCAUCCUGACUUACAGAUACAGCAGUUCUUGGGCUUUAUUAUAUAUUACCGUGUGAUGUCAGCUUCUUUGGUUUACUUGGAUGAAAUUAUUUUUUGUUAGAAUGACUUUUGUUGGCAUUUGUAAUGUAAUUUUAAGGUAAUAUAAUGUACAGAUACUUUAGCUACUUUGGUUUUUAAAAGUCUGUGAAUGAGAUAUAAGAGCAAUAUGCAGAAAUGAAAUGUAUUUAUAUACACUGGCAGUGAGACAUCCAAACAUGAAUUUAAGACAAUAAUUCCAUUUACAGUGACAUCAAAGAGACCAGCAUUUGGGAAUAAAUUUGACAAAAGAACUGCAACACUUGCACACUGAAAACACUGUUGAAAGAGCUUAAAGAAGAUCUAAGUAAAUGGAAAGAUUACCCCACUGCUCAUGGACUGGAAGACAAUAUUAAGAUGGCAGUACUACCCAAAUUGACCUACACAGUCAGUGCAAUUCCUAUCAAAAUCCUAGCUAGAUUGUUUGCAGAAGUUGACAGGUGGCCCCUAAGAGUCAUGUGGAAAUAGCCAAAAUUACCUUGAAAAGAAGUACAAAGUUGGAAGACACACUACCUGAUUUCAAAACUUAAAGCAAAGCUACAGUAAUCAAGGCAGUGUGGUACUAGUGUAAAGACAGACAUACAGAUCAGUGGACUAGAGUGGAGAGUUCAGAAAUAAACCCUUAAUAUUCUGGUCAAUUGAUUUUUGUUAAUUAGAUAUUAAGUACCCCAAAGUACUGUCCUUUCCCAUUCACCCUUCUGUCUCUACCCUCUCAAUUUUCUUCCAUUACUUAAAUCAACAGGUGUUUAUUGUGAGCACAUAGGACUAGGGUGACUUCUGAGGUGAUUUAUUCACAUACAUCUGGCCUGACAGAGCUGGCAUGUACUCUAAGGACUUGUAUCCUAGAAGAAUGCCAGCUUUUAACAGCGGUUAGAGAAGAAUGGUGAGUAAGUAUGUAUAUGAAAUAUAUAUAUUUAUAAUUCAGUAUCAGUGUUGCUCUUGCUGGUGGCUAGAUUUGGGAUAGUAAAAGAAAAUAAUUCACCUUUUAAUAAUUAUAUAAUGAAAAAAGCUAAUUACGAAAUCGGGUACAAAGUCCAGAUGACUUUGGCUUUGUUUCUUCACUCUGUAGUGUCAGACUGCCAGUAUAUCAUCAUGAAGAUACGUGAGAAAUAUUAUCUGUCACAGGUGGAGAAAGAAUAAUAGCUGGAUUGUUUCUGAACUUCGUAAUAAACUUAAAAAAAAAGCGUCUCAUUUGAUUUAAAAAAAAAAAACUUCCUUGGCUCAAAUACUUUAAUUUCACACUUAGCAAGUUUUCAGUAAAUAAAAAUUGGCCCUAAAACCUGGAAAGAAUGAUAGUGUAGUGUACCAAUACUAUAAGUUACAGCCCUCUGGAACAAUAGAAGGUGGGGGGACUGGGGCAGAGGCUAUGAACUCCCUGAAAUUCUACUUACAAAUUUUGUAUGUAUGCACAUUGGUGUGAGGGCAUGUGCAAAGGAUCCAUGAUUUUCAUUAGGUUCUCAAAUGAUUUGGAACAUAUCCCAGGAAAGAUUAAGGAUUGCUUAAACCUUUAAAAGACAAUAAAGCUGUUGAGAACUUUUACUUCUGGACAUUACAGAGUAAUUUACUGGUACCAGAUUAGCCCUCUGGCCAUAAAUAAGGAGGAACUUGGACAAAACACAUACAACAGGCAGGGCAGGACUGCAUUCCCUGAGAGAAGGAAAAUAAAAUUCAGCCCUGCGAAUCUCACAGGCUUUCUUUCUGAAACUAGAUUCCAGUUAGAAUCUAAGUUAAUUAGAAUCUAAGCAGGGUGAGGCAGUCUUGUUGGGCCAAGGAGGUACAAGUCAGAGAAUAGACUUGAGAGGCUGGAAUUUGCAGGGGUGAUUACCAUAGAAGAUGGGGUUACACAGACAGUGAAAUCCAGAAAUCUGCAGAGGAGCUCCUUUGACUCUUUGGCUGGAUACUAAGCUGGGUGGAGCUCCAUAGGCUGGGCAAAGAACAACUAACUAUUAGAGGAAGAACAACUACCAGAGACUUGGUAGAAGUAUUGGGACUUAACGUUGGGUUGUGAGGCAUUUCUAGUUUUGACCAGCCAGAAUGGAGAGACCUUGUGGAAUAUCAGAACCAUUUGGGAGAGUCCCCAGAUACGGUACUCCUUAGGAGUAGGGCCAAAGUAACUUUAGAAAAGGGGCUACUCAAGUCCCACCUUAAAACUGUGCUGAAAAAUAGGCCUCAAAAGGAUUAAGCUGAUUCUCAACUAAUUUAGCUGCCCACCUGAACAAAACUCAACAUGUAAGAAACCCAUGGAAGCAUUUAAAGGAAGCAUGAACGUGAGAGAAAUGUAAGAUGUAAAAAAGACCUAUUAGAACUCCUAGAACUGAAAAACACAAUAUUUGAAAUGAAAAAUUCAGCUGAUGGGCUUAACAGCAGAUUAAAAGAAGAAAAGACACUGCAGAAGAAAAGAUCAGUGUAAGGUAAUAGAAACUGUGCAAAAUGAAACACAGGGGGGAAAAGUCUGGGGAAAAAAAGGAGAGAGCCUCAGUGAUGUGUGGGACAUUAUCAAGCAGUCUCAUGCAUGUGCAUUUGGACUCUAGGACGGCAGGUGGGGGUCCUGUGGUUGCAGAAGAAGUAUUUGAAGAAAUAAUGGCUGAAAAUUUUCCAAGUAAUGACGAGAACUGUAAUCCCAUAGACUUUAUGAACCUAGGUAGGAUGAACAUAGAGAAAAUCACACUGAGACACGUGCUAACCCAGUGGCUAAAAACCAGUUACAAGGAGAAAUCUUAGAGAAGCCAGAGGGAAAAAAGACCACAUUACAUAUACAGAGGGACAAAGAUAAGAACAGCUGUUGACUUUUUAUGAAACAAUAUGAGCCAACAAAUGAGCAAAUAACCACACUGAGGAAGAAGAAAAGAAUAAUCAAAAUACCUUUAGAAAACAGUAUUUGAUUAGCUAUUGUAAGACUAAAGGUAAAAAGGACUGUAAACAUGCAUUUUGGUGAUUCUGAUUUCUCACAAGGGUGGUAUGGGUUAGCAAGUUGGAAACUAUAUACUAGGAAUGAACACAUAAGUAAAUAUAUUUUAGAUAAUGAGAGCCAGGUUUCUACUAUUAAAGAGGUUAAGGAAAGGAAGAAGACUAGAAGGAACUCUGUGAUGUUGAAUUGGAAUCAGAAUUAUCAGUAUGAACUCAUGGUUUUAUAUAUUAUACAUGCAGGUGGUUGUGGAAAUACAGGUGUGUGUAUAUGCAUGGAUUAGUGUACAUAAAUAUAUUUUCUCACUCUGUCCUCUGGGAAUGCCUAGAAGAAGCAGUGAGCAUGCCUAGUGCCCAGAUCUUGGACUCUACAUUCAGUUUUUCAACAAAAGGAACCAGGACUCUUAAAAAGAACUGACUGCUUCCAGAACUGGGAUAUAUGGGAGCAUCUUUGGUGCCAGAAAAUGAAGAAGUGCUCAGAAAAGGAUGGGAUAUGUCAAAAGUAUGUAAGAACCGGGCUUCCCUGGUGGUUCAGUGGUUAAGAAUCUGCCUGCCAAUGCAGGGGACACAGGUUCGAGCCCUGGUCUGGGACGAUCCCACAUGCAGCGGAGCAGCUAAGCCUGUGCGCCACAGCUACUGAGCCUGUGCUCUAGAGCCCGUGCGCCACAACUAUUGAGCCUGCGCUCUAGAGCCCUUGAGCCAGAACUAUUGAGCCCGUGGGCCACAACUACUGAAGUCCACGUGCCUAGAGCCAUGCUCCACAACAAGAGAAGCCACCGCAAUGAGAAGCCUGCACACCGCAAUGAGGAGUAGCCCCCACUCGCUGCAACUAGAGAAAGCCUGCGUGCAGCAACGAAGACCCAACACAGCCAAAAAUUAAUUAAUUAAUUAAAAAAAGUAUGUAAGAACCAACCUGAAAGAGCUUCUAAUGUCCAAAGCUGUAAUGAAAUAAUUAUAAUAUUGCAUUACUACCAAUAGAAUAAAAUAGCCAUUAGUCCAUAUUGGUAUGUAUAAAACAAACAGAUAGGUUGGUGGGUAGAAGGGACAAAUCAUAAAUGAAGAAUUCCAAUUAAUAAGUGUAAAACCGUGACUGAAACAAAAUCACCGUUACGCAAAUACUGCAGUAAUAGUUGUCACAGGCAGUCCAGUGAUGGAAGGUAAAAUCACUGGGUGGAGGUACGAUGAGAAACGUUUGCAUAGUCUCAAGGUAUUUUCUCUUAGAAAUUAUUGAUUACAAAGGGAAAAACAGCAAAUUUACAGCGGAGAGAAGCUCUGUAGAUACCACCUUAACUAAGUUAUUAAGGUUAAUAUCAUAGAAAGAAGACAUCCACAAUAUAUACUUGGUAUAAUGAACCAAGAAAGGCAAAACAUUACAUCUGUGGUGUUUUGUGGUAUUCUUAUCAAAAAAUGCAAAAUCUUACUCUAAUUAUGAGAAGGCAGCAGACAAACCCAAAUUGAGGGAGAAUUCUACAAAAUACCUGAGCAGUAUUCUUCGAAAGUAUCAAGGUCAUGAAAGACAAGAAAAGACUGAGUAACUGUCACAGAUUGGAGGAGACUAGAGAUGUAUGACAGCUAAAUACAAAGUGGGAAUCUGGAUUGGAUUCUGGAAUACAGUGACAUUAGUAAAAAAAAACAAAAAACAAAAACUGGUGGAUUAGUUCUGUAGUUUGCAUUGUACCAGUGUUACUUUCUUAUUUCUGAUAAAUGUACUAUGGUUAUGUAAGUGUUAACAUUAGGAGAAGCUUAGAUGAAAGGUAUAUGUGAACUCUGAGCUAUUUUUUGCAACUUUUUUGUAAAAUAAUUUCAAAAUAAAAAAUUUCUUAAAUCUACAGUUCUCCCCACAUUGGGGAGUUGGAGAAAGAAACAAUGCAAGCCAGAAGACAGUGAAAUUACAUAUUGAAAGUUCUGAAAGGAAAAAACUUAUCAAGUUAGAAUUUAAUCCUAACAAAAAUAUCUUUCAAAAAUGAAGUCAAAAUAAAGACAUUUUCCAUACAAAAGCUGAGAGAAUUUCUUGCCGGCAGUCUUGCACUAUUACAAAUGUUAAAGGAAGUUUUUCAGGCUGAAGAAAAUCAUGCCAGAUGGAAACUCAGAUCUGCACAAAGGAAUGAAGAGAUUAAGAAAUGGUAAAUAUGUGGGGAAAUAUAAAACACUUUUUUCUCAUUUUAGUUUAUUUCAAAGACAAUUGACUAUUUAAAGCAAAGAUUUCUAUGUUUUAUAGGAUUCAUAAUAUUUAGAAAACGUAGAAGUGUAACAUGUAGAAGAAAAAAGAUUUUUUAAAUAGCCCAGUAAUAGGAGAAAAUGGAAGUAUACUGCUAUAAGUGUCUUAUAUUAAUACCAGAAGUGGUAUAAUACUGUUUGAAGGUAGACUGUCCUAAGUUAAAAAUGUAUAUUAUAAAUGCUAGUGCAACCACUUAAAAAAAAUUAGGGAUAUCUAAUAAGCUAUUAAUCAUAAAAAAGCUCAAAUGACUAUUAAUAUUUGACAAAACAGAUUUCAGAGUGAGGGAUAAAUACAGACUUUACAGUAAUACAGACUUUUCAGAACAAUAAAGUUGUCAAUUUAUCAUAUUUAUAUACCUAAUAGUUUCAAAAUACCUGAAGCAAAACCUGACAGAAUUGGAAGGAGAAAUAGACAAUGUACAAUUACAUAGCUGGAUGUUUCAACAUUCCUCUUUAGUAAUUGAUUAAGUAGACAUAUAUUAAAGAAAUUGAGGGACUUACCUGGCGGUCCAGUGGUUAAGACUCAGCGCUUUCACUGCAGGGGACACGGGUUUGAUCUCUGGUCCAGGAACUAAGAACCCACAUACUGUGCAGUGUGGCCAAAAAAUUUAAAAAAAAUUAAAAUAGUAAAGAAAUAAAAAGAAACUGAAUCUUAGUUUAAAAUUCUCUGAAAGAAGCCUCAAGGCCCAGGUGGCUUCACUGGUGCAUUUUUUUUUUUUUUGCGGUACGUGGGCCUCUCACUGUUGUGGCCUCUCCCGUUGCGGAGCACAGGCUCCGGACGCGCAGGCUCAGCGGCCAUGGCUCACGGGCCCAGCCGCUCCACGGCAUGUGGGAUCUUCCCGGACCGGGGCACGAACCCGUGUCCCCUGCAUCGGCAGGCAGACUCUCAACCACUGUGCCACCACUGAUGCAUUUUAUCUAAUGUUUAAGGGAGAAAAUACCAAUCUUAAACUACUUCAAUAAAUAUAGGAGGAGGGCACACUUCCAAAUCAUUUAUGGGACCAGCUUUAUCUUGGAUACUAAAACCAUAUAAAGAUAAGACCUAUUCCAAAUGAUCAUUGACAUGUCUUUCAUGAACAUGUAUAUAAGAACUCUUAUCUAACUUGCAAAUCAAUUCCAGGAACUUAUAAAAUGAAUAAUAUGUCACAACCAAGUGAGAUUUAUUUCAGGAAUCCAAUGUUGACUUCACAUUCAAAAUCAAUUUUAAUUAUCCACCUUACUGGAAUAAAGAAGAAAAAUCAUGAACAUCUUUAAUACGUAUAGAAAACCCUUUGACAAAAUGCAACCUCAUUUUGCAUCAUGAUACCUCACCAAACUAGGAAUAGGACAUUUCCUCAACCAACUAAAUGAUGUACAGUUAACACAAUACUUUAAUGGUGAAACUUUCAGUCUAAGCUUUCUCUUUUGAGGAUCAAGUACAAAACAACAAUGUAUUAGAGGUCCUAACUAGUACAAUAAGGCAAGGGAAAGAAGCAAGUCAUAGAGGUUGAAAAGGAAGAUGAUAUGGAAGUGCCUUUAUACAGACUACCUGAUUAUAUACAUUGAAAUUCUAAGCCACCAUCACCCCCCCCAAAAAAAAAGAGCAACUGUAAUUAAUAAGUGAAUGUAGCAAGGUUGCAGGAUACAAGGUCAAUACAAAAAUAAAUUGUAUUCUAUAUUUAGCAAAAAAAAAAACAAUUGGAAAAUAAAACUUGAAAUUACCAUUUACGGUAUUAUCCACAAAAUGAAGUAGGGAUAAAUUUAACAAAAUAUGUGCAAGACCUAGGCACUGAAAACUACAAAAUACUGUUGAGAGAACUUAAAGAAGACCCAAAUAAACAGAGAUCAUGUUCAUGUUCAUGUUCAUGGAUAAUGAACCAUGUUCAUCUACCAUGUUCAUGGAUCAGAAGACUCGUUAUCACUGUACCCAAACUCCUACUUAUCUUUCCUGAACAUGCCAAGCAUAUUUCUACCUCAGACCCUACGCACUUAUUGUUUCCUCUGCCUGAAACACUCUCCUCACGUAUUUUAUUUUUUUUUGUCUUCUCUCCCUGGAAUGUAAAUCCCGUCAACAGAGGAUUUUGUCUGCUUCAUUUAGUGUCAAGUAUAUAGUAAGUGUGGUUUAUUCUUCUGUAACACACAUUACUAUAAUGUGAAAUAGCUUGUAGAUAAUACAUAUAUAGACAUAUAUAUUACAUUGCACUAGAAAUGCUUGUGUUAUCUCAUUAUUACAUCUUAGGAUGUAGUUGGAAGAGUUGAAGUUAGCUUUGGUUUUGUCAGUGAUUUCUCAGUUCCCAGGAACUUAUCCUGUCUCAUACAUUUCAAAAAUUAAAAUCAGUAGUUAAUGGCAUGCAGCAAAAGAAAAAAACAGAUCAUUUAAUUGGACUUCAUCAAAAUUAAAAACUUUGAUGUAUCAAAGGUAAUUAAGAAAGUGAAGACAGCCUAUAGAAUGGAGGAAAUAUUUGCAAACCAUAUUUGUGAUAUGACUCUGUUUUCCAGAAGAUAUAAAGAACUCUUACAACUCAACAACAAAAAGAUAACUUGAUUUAAAAAUGGGCAAAGGGGGCUUCCCUGGUGGCGUAGUGGUUGAGAGUCCACCUGCCAAUGCAGGGGACACGGGUUUGUGCCCCGGUCUGGGAAGAUCCCACAUGCCGCGAAGCGGCUGGGCCCGUGGGCCAUGGCUGCUGAGCCUGCGCGUCCGGAGCCUGUGCUCCACAAUGGGAGAGGCCACAACAGUGAGAGGCCCGCAUACCGCAAAAAAAAAAAAAAAAAGGGCAAAGGACUUGAAUAGACAUUUCUCCAGAGAAGGUAUACAAAUGGUCAACAAGCACAUGAACUGAUGUUUAGUAUCAGUAGUCAUUAGGGAAAUGCGAAUCAAAACUACAGUGAGGCACCACUUCAUAUGCACCCCCUAGAAUGACUUAUAAAAAGGAAAAUAAUAAGCAUUGGUUAGGAUGUGUAGAAAAAUUGAACCCUCAUACAUUGCUAGUGGAAAUGUAAAUGGUGCAGCUGCUGUGGAAAACAGUGGUUCCUCAAAAAGUUAAACAAAAUUACCAUAUGACCCAGCAAUUCCACUUCUUGUAUAUACCCCAAAGAAUUAAAAACAGGUACUCAUAUAAACACAUAUACAUGCAUAUUCAUAGCAACACUUUACCAAGGCCAAAAGGUGAAAACAGCCGAAAUGUCCGUCGACAGAUGAGUGGAUAAGCAGAUAAUGGUGUAUAUACAUAUGAUGGAAUAUUAUUCAGUCAUAAAAUGGAAUGAGGUACUGACCGCUACAUGCUACAACGUGGAUGGACCUUGAAAACAUUAUGCUAGGUGAAAGAAGCCAGCCACAAAAGGUCACAUGUUACAUGCUUUCAUUUAUAUGAAGUAUCCAAAAUAGGUAAAUCUACAGAGACAGAAUGCAGACUGGUGGUUUCCAGGGGAGUGGUGGGAGGGGAAAUGGAAAGCCACUGACUAAUGGGUAUGGAGUUUCCUUUUGAGAUGAUGAAAAUGUUUUGGAACUGGAUAGAGGUGCUGGUUGUACAAUAUUGCGAAUAUCCUGAAUUGUUCACUUUAAAAUGGUAAGUUUUAUGUGAAUUUUACCUCAGUAGAAAAUAGGCUAAGAGCAUGUAUGGUCUGCAAUCAAACAGACAUGAAAUUGAGUCCUGGUUUUUGCCGCCUAUUAAUUCUGUGACCUUAAGUAAAUUACUGUAUAUUUUGUCUUCUAUAAAAUAGGCAUAUUAGGGGAAUUCCCUGGCGAUCCAGUGGUUAGGCCUUGGCACUCUCAUUGCCGGGGCCUGGGUGUGAUCCUUGAUCUGACUAAGAUCCUGCAAGCUGUGUGGCACGGCCAAAGUAAAAUAAAAUAGGCAUAUUAGUACUUUCUCAGAGGAUUUUUGUUAAUAUUAAAUGAGAUAGUAUAUGUGAAAUGCUUACAAUAUUUAAUUAUCCAGUGAAUAUUAGUGUUAAUUGAUUUUUCUUUUGCUGCUGCUAUUGGUUUUUAUUUCACUCAUCAUUUGUAGAAUAGAAAUAAUAGUAUGGACUAGGAUUGUUCUGAUGACUUAAUGAGUUAUCUAUGCAAAGGGCUUAAAACAGUACCUGGCACAUUGUAAAUUCUCAAAGUGUUUACUAAGCUAUUACUAUUAAAUGAAAGGAUCUUUAGAGGGAACUUUUUUGCAUUCUCCAUUUUCACAUCCAUAUGGAGAUGUCCAUUAUGGAAAAUGGCCUUUUCAAAAUUUGUGCUGUUAAUGACAGAGCUAGGACUAGGUCUUUUAAAUUUCAGACUAAGCUACAUUCAAAGGAUUGUAGGUAUGCGAUUCCUAUUUCCUCUCCUGGUGUGGUGAAAACACUUGAUUUUCACCUGUUAAAAACCACAGAUAUAGAUCAUUUAGCUAUAUGUUGUUGAACUUCGGUUUUCUGGAGUUUAUUAUAUAGGUUGUUUCUGCCUGCAUUAAUUACUAUUGAUGUGUCAUCAGAAGCCAAGUUUUGGAAAACUGAUAUUUAUAAUGACUAGAAGUUGCAGUUACUUUUCUUGCCACUGGAUGGUGCCACAUCAUUAAGGCAAAUGUUUUGCCUGAUAUUGUUUCUCACUUUCCUGAGCAACUGAAAAUUGAUAAACGAAUUAGACUGUGGUAAAUUGAAAUACUUGUUUGAACUGGGUCCCAGGAAUCUGUAAAAAGUGGGGAUUUCCUCUAGUAUAUUUUUACGUAAGCAAAAGCUGGAAAAGAAUCGCUGGUUGGAUCAAACCCUAUGAUUUUGCUCUAGUCUGUGGUAAUUUAACAAAUGAUAGUGUUGCAGGAGAAUCUGAUUCUUCCUGGCAGAAUCUUAAAGGGUGAUAGGUUUUCCUAGCUUCUCUUGGCAGCUGAGUUAUUGAUUUUGCCCGAAUCUUUAACUUGUAUCAAAAAGUUUUCUAGGGCUUCCCUGAUGGCGCAGUGGUUGAGAGUCCACCUGCCGAUGCAGGGGACACGGGUUCAUGCCCCGGUCCGGGAAGAUCCCACAUGCCGCGGAGCGGCUGGGCCCGUGAGCCAUGGCCGCUGAGCCUGCACGUACGGAGCCUGUGCUCCGCAACGGGUAUUAAAAAAAAACAAAAAACAACUUUUCUACUCUAUCUUAAAUAUAGGUUUUUCCAACCUAUGUUUGAGGGUGUGGAAAGUGCGUGCUGGAGUGACUAAGGUAUUUACUUGGGAAAAGUGCACAGUUGUAAAAGUUGUUUUUGAGAGUGACUAUAGAAAAAAGGCUGGAAGGAAUGAGACUGUAGGGGUGGCUUGGGGCCAUGCUAGAAGUUAGGUGAUCAAGUCGGAGUGUUUGUGUAGUGGAGAGAACAUUUGUAAACAUACCUCCUCCUCUAUUAACCUAAUUUUUGUUUCUAUUAAUGUAAUAGCUACAGAGUUUUAGAAGUUAGUACUUUAAGGCCUAUGACAACAGCAGCAGCAACAAUAAAUCCUUGCCCCAUGCUCACUUGUGUGUUACCUUUCCCAAACAUUUUUUGGCCUUUACUUCUGAUAU